AACGAACGCUGGCGGCAGGCUUAACACAUGCAAGUCGAACGCGUCCUUCGGGACGAGUGGCAGACGGGUGAGUAACACGUGGGAACCUACCUGAUGGUACGUAAUAACCCAGGGAAACUUGUGCUAAUACCGUAUGUGCCUUUCGGGGGGAAGGGUAAUAGCCAUCAGACGGGCCCGCGUCGGAUUAGCUAGUCGGUGGGGUAAUGGCCUACCAAGGCGACGAUCCGUAGCUGGUCUGAGAGGAUGAUCAGACACACUGGGACUGAGAUACGGCACAGACUCCUACGGGAGGCAGCAGUGGGGAAUAUUGGACAAUGGGCGAAAGCCUGAUCCAGCCAUGCCGCGUGAGUGAUGAAGGCCUUAGGGUUGUAAAGCUCUUUCCGCUGGGAAGAUAAUGACGGUACCAGCAGAAGAAGCCCCGGCUAACUUCGUGCCAGCCGCCGCUGUAAUAC
rnacentral:rRNA from 1 species